rnacentral:rRNA from 1 species
CAGUCGCCGCGGUAAUACGAAGGGUGCGAGCGUUACUCGGAAUUACUGGGCGUAAAGCGUGCGUAGGUGGUGGUUUAAGUCCGUUGUGAAAGCCCUGGGCUCAGCCUGGGAAUUGCAGUGGAUACUGGGUCACUAGAGUGUGGUAGAGGAUAGUGGAAUUUCCGGUGUAGCAGUGAAAUGCGUAGAUAUGCGGAGGAACACCGAUGGCGAAGGCAGCCCCCUGGGCCAACACUGACGCUCAUGCACGAAAGCGUGGGGAGCAAACAGGAUUAGAUACCCCGGUAGUCCCUGUCUCUUAUAC